rnacentral:misc_RNA from 1 species
AAAAAUUAAAAAAAAAAAAGAAAAGAAAUGGAGAGUAGAAGAAUCGGGAAAGAGAAAAGAAAAGGAAAAAGAGAGAAAGAGAUAAGGAGAAGAAGAAGGGAAGGAGGGAGAUAGUGGCUGGAUUUUUGAGAUUUCUUCGGCAAAUAUGGAGGCUGGCAAAGGAAAAAGAGGGAGAGUGGUCUGAAAACUAAGAAAUUAGAGAGAGAAAAGGGGCAAAAUGAUGAAUAGGAGCAGAAACAGAGAUUGAGCAA